UACGUAGGGGGCAAGCGUUGUCCGGAAUUAUUGGGCGUAAAGGGUGCGUAGGUGGCGCCGUAAGUCAGGUGUGAAAUUUCGGAGCUUAACUCCGAAACUGCAUUUGAUACUGCGGUGCUUGAGGACUGGAGAGGAGACUGGAAUUUACGGUGUAGCAGUGAAAUGCGUAGAGAUCGUAAGGAAGACCAGUGGCGAAGGCGGGUCUCUGGACAGUUCCUGACACUGAGGCACGAAGGCCAGGGGAGCAAACGGG
rnacentral:rRNA from 1 species